AUUGUGCCACCGCACUCCAGCCUGGGCGACAGAGCGAGACUCCGUCUCAAUAAAAAACAAACAAACAAACAAACAAACAAAAACCAUGAAUGUUAACCUUAGAUGACAAAAUCAAGGGCUUUGCAGAUGUGAUAAAGUUAAAGAUCUUGAGAUGAGAGGAUUAUCCUGCAUUACCUGGGUGGGCCCAAAGUGCCAUCACAUACAUCCCCUUAUAAAAGGGAGGCAAGGAAGAUGUGAGCAGACAGAAGAGGAGAAGGCAAUGUGACCACAGAAAAAGAGAAUGGAGUGAUGUGGCCACAAGCCAAGGAUUGCAGCAGCUACCAGAAGCUGGAAGAGACAAGAAACGGAUUCUACCCAGGGGCCUCUAGAGCAGGGGUCCCCAAACCCCAGGGCCACACAGCAGGAGGUGAGCAGCGGGCCAGGGAGUGAAGCUUCAUCUGUAUUUACAGCUGCUCCUAUUGCUCGCAUUAAGGCCUAAGCUCCGCCCCCUGUCAUAUCAGCGGAAGUAUUAGAUACUCAUAGGAGGCGAACCUUAUUGUGAACUGCGCAUGUGAUUUACACACUCCUUAUGAGAAUCUAAUGCCUGAUGAUUUGUCACUGUCUCCCAUCACCAUAUGGGACCAUCUAGUUGCCGGAAAACAAACUCAGGGCUCCCACUGAUUCUACAUUAUGGUGAGUUGUGUAAUUAUUUCAUUACAUAUUACAAUAUAAUAACAAUAGAAGUCAAGUGCUCAAUAAAUGUAAUGUGCUUGAAUCAUCCUGAAACCAUCCCCCCACCCCCAGUCUGUGGAGAAAUUGUCUUCCAGGAACCUGGUCCCUGGUGGCAAAAAGGUUGGGGAGUGCUGCUCUAGAGGAUGUACAGCCAUGUUGGCAUCUUGAUCUCAGCUCCGUGAAAGUGACUUUGGACUUCUAGCAUUCAGAAGCAUGAGAUAAUAUAUUUCUGUUGUUUUAAGCCAUCAGGUUUGUGUUCAUUUGUUACAGCAGCGAUAGAAAACUAAUACAGCUUCUGGCUGGGCACAGUGGCUCACUCCUGUAAUCCCAGCACUUUGGGAGGCUAAGGCAGAUGGAUCAUCAAGGUCAGGAGUUUGAGACCAGCCUGGUCAACAUGGUGAAACUCUGUCUCUACUAAAUACAAAAAUUAGCCCGGUGUGGUAGCAUGCACCUGUAGUCCCAGGUACUCGGGAGGCUAAGGCAGGAGAAUUGCUUGAUCCCGGGUUGCAGUGAGCUGAGAUUGUGCCACUGCCCUCCAGCCUGGGACAGAGCAAGACUCCAUCUCACCAAAAAAAAAAAAAAAAAAAAAAAAAGAAAGAAAGAAAGAAAAAACUAAUACAGCUUCCUUCAGGCAGCCUCUGCUGACUUCUCAAUUUGGGUUGGGUGCCUUUCCUACAAAUUGUUUUAAAGAGAUGGAAUCUCACUCUUACUCUGUCACCCAGGCUGGAGUGCAAUGGUUCAAUCAUAGCUCAGUGCAGCCUUGAAUUCCUGGGCUCAGCGGAUCCUCUCUCCACAGCCACCUGAGUAGCUGGAAAUACAGGUGCAUGCCACCACGCCCAGCUAAUUUCUUAAAAAGAAAUUUUUUUAGAGACAAGGCACACUAUGUUGCCCAGGCUGGUCUCAAACUCCUGGCCUCAAGCAAUUCUUCCACCCCUGCCUCCCAAGUUGCUGGGACUGUAGGAGUGAGCCACUGCACCCGGUCAUUUCUUACAUAUUUUGACAGCACCCAGUACUAAUAGCACUGCAUAAAAACUUCUUGUUUCAAGGUCUUUUUUUCUCUGCUGUUAGUUCUGAAAACGUAGGGAGAGAGCUUCUUAUUAUAAGAAUAGGCUUUAGCAUUGUGUUUGGCACAUGGGAAGUAGUUAUUAAAUAACUGAGAAAUUUAAAUGUGUGGACUCAAACUUUCAAUAUUUAAAAAUUGACAUCUCAGUUUUCUAGAAGGGGUGUGGUGUGUGCAUCUCAUUUAUUAAAAGUAAUGGCCAAAACCACAAUUACUUUUACACCAUCCUAAUAUUUCAAGGCCCAAAUCCCAAAGUUUCCCAAACAAGCUGCCACUUAGAAAAAAAGCAAACAAAACCUUCUGUUGGAAAUUAGCCUGUUUUUAUUGGAGAACUGACAUUUGGGAAAUAAUUUUAUAUUAAAAAAUUCUGAGGCCAGGCGCAGUGGCUCAUGCCUGUAAUCCCAGCACUUUGGGAGGCCGAGGCAGGUGGAUCACUAGAGGUCAGGAGUUCGAAACCAGCCUGGCCAAUGUGGUGAAACCCCGUCUCUACUAAAAAUACAAAAAUUAGCCGGGUGUGGGGGUGUGCGCCUGUAAUCCCAGCUACUCAGGAGGCUGAGGCAGGAGAAUCGCUUGAACCCGGGAGGCAGAGAUUGCAGUGAGCUGAGAUCACGCCACUGCGCUCCACCCUGGGAGACAAGAGCAAAACUGCAUCUCAAAAAAAAAAAAAAAAAAAAUUCUGAAGGUGUAAAGAAGUAAACCUCUAAGUUUGAGUAGUAAAACUGUACAUACACUAGGCUUAUUUAAAGUCUUUAUUGUUGUUGUUGUCGUCGAGUUGGGGUCUCACUCUGUCACCCAGUCUGGAGUGCAGUGGCGCCAUCACUGCUCACUGUAGCCUCAACCUCCCCAGGCUCAGGUGAGCCUCCCACCGCAGCCUGCUAAGUAGCUGGGACUACAGGUGCACACCACCAUGCCCGAUUAAUUUUUUGAAUUUUUAGUAGAGACAGAGUUUUGCCAUAUGGCCCAUGCUGGUCUCAAACUCCUGGCUUCAAGUGAUCCACCUGCCUCGGCCUCCCAAGGGGCUAGGAUUACAGAAAUGAGCCACCAUGCCCAGCCUAAAAUCUGUUAUCUCCUUUGUGGUUUUCAAAUUGGUCUCUCUAUCUCAUUCUGCCUUUCUUAUCUCAUCGCCAGAAGGGUAAAGUUCCACCUCAAUAGAGGGACAAUCACUCUAAAGCUUAGCCCUGUCUGCUUUCCUAUCUCCCACUACUCACCAGCACAGAAACUUCUCUGCUGCUAACCAGAAGUAGUGACUGUCCCAGGGCACAAUGUGGUGUUUUGUUUCAUUCUGUUUUGCUGCUCAGUCUUUUUCACCUGCCACUUUUUCUACUUUCAAGGCUAUUUUCUCUCAUCUCUGCUUACCCAUACUCUUCAUCCUUCAAGGACCUGAUCAAAUGCCACUUUUAUACCACUCCAAUGCUGAGUAAUUUAUCAGAAACCUGACAGCACUGAACUGUACUGCAUAUUUUUAUGUCACUAAACGGUGGGAAUCUUUUCAUGUGUGAAUUCCAUAUUCUCAUUUGGCAUAGAGAUGAAGGUUAAAAGUUUGUGCUAUCAUGUUGCUUAAGAUAGAUGUUCAUUAAAUACUGUAUGAUAAAUUAGUAACACACAGCAACCACUUGAACAGUCUGAGAUUAUUUGCUGAGUGCUCAAUAGCUAAACAAAGCAUGUUCUACAGUAGUAUUGUUUGACUAAAAUGUUGAAUAGUUGGUCUCACAGGAUGCAGCAUCCACAUUCUGAGUAAAUGAGAUUUCCUUCGCAUUACAGUUUUUUAAAUUAAUAUAAGCUGAGUCUGACAUUGAGUUUACUUAAUAAAAUGAUUUUAUGUCCAAGUGCAGUGGCUCACACUUAUAAUCCCAGCACCUUGGCAGGCUGAUCCCUUGAGCCCAAGCGUUCUAAACCAGCCUGGGCAACACGGUGAACCUCCGUCUCUACUAAGAUUACAACAUUUAGCUGUGAGUGGUAGUACAUGCCUGUGGUCCCAGCUACUCGGGAGGCUGAGGUGAGAGAAUCACCCGAGCCAGAGAAGUCAAGGGUGCAGUGAUUGCACAACUGCACUCCAGCCUGGGUGACAGAGGCUCAAAAAAAAAUGUUUUUGUAACAAAAUGACCAUAUGUAAGAUAAAAUACAACUCAGACGUUAUGAAAUGUGACAACAUAGUUUUAUCUUUGUCUGGUUGAGGCCAUAGAGUCCAGACUGCCCUUUGUGGUGUGACUUUGAAUUCACUGAAGGAAGUGGAAGUUAUCACUCUUAAUCAUCAUGGGAAGAGGUUGGUAUGUUGGUGUUAUGUUCACUCAGCUCCACCAUAAAGGACAAUGCAGAGCGAUAAGAUGCAAAGAAUGUGGGGUUCUUGAAUGAACUCCUGGAAAAGAGCUACCUCACCAGCUUAGGCCUGCUAAGCUGCUACACGAGAGAGGAAUAGAAGUCAGUCUUUUUUUUUUUUUUUUUUUUUUUUUGAGAUGGAGUCUGGCUCUGUUGCCCAGGCCAGAGUGCAAUGGCGCAAUCGUGGCUCAUUGUAACCUCUGUCACCCAGGUUCAAGUGAUUCUCCCGCCUCAGCCUCCCGAGUAGCUGGGAUUACAGGCACCUGUCAUCAUGCCCGGCUAAUUUUUGUAUUUUUAGUAGUGACGGCGUUUCAUCAUGUUGGUCAGGCUGGUCUUGAACUCCUAACCUCAGGUGAUCCGCCCCCCACCUCAGCCUCUCAAUGUGUUGGGAUUACAGGUGUAAGCCACUGCACCUGGCCUUUUUUUUUUUUUUAAAGACUGAGUCUUGCUCUGUUGCUUAGGCUGAAGUGCAGUGGCAUGAUCUCGGCUAGAAUCCAGUAGCUAGGAUUACAGGCGGCGCUACUACACCCGACUAAUUUUUGCAUUUUUAGUAGAGACGUAGUUUCGUCAUGUUGGCCAGGCUGGUCUCAAACUCCUGACCCCAAGUGAUCCGCCUGCCAAAGUGAAUCUUUUUGAAGUCAUAUAUUUUUGGUGUUUUUGCUUUAGAAAUGUAAUUAUUAUUCCAGCUAAUAUAGAUAUUGGUACCUAACAUUAUAAAAACCUUACCUGUGUGGCAUUGCUCGAGAUAUUGACAAUUAAAAAAUAGAUGUUGCAGAUAUUGGAAAGCUGAUGAAGCUUAUAAUGUCAAGGCAAUAUUUGGUAAAAUUGUCAUCUGCAAUUACUUGGAAAGAAGGCCACAUACCUGAUUGUGAGCCCUAGAGAAAGCAGUCAAAAAGCCAGAAUAUUUGUAUGUUGGCUGCUCUUUGCUGCUUUUCAUGGGUUAUUAUAACAAAGAAAUGAGCCCAGGCAAAAACCGACCAAUUUGCAAGAAUAGCUGGAAGAAAGGAGAACCACAUGGUUCAACUACUCUGAAUCCCGCGAAGGUGGGAGAUAAGGUGUUUCUAAGAGUGUUCUUCAGUGUCCUCUCAUCAAAAGAUUCCCAAUCAAACCGGGGAGUUAGAUUCAGCAACAAAGAUCAGAUUGAGCCUGUUGUGUCAGAUAGCCUCAAGGGAAUUGCCUGUGAAGUGGGAAGAGAGUGAUGGUUAAACUCUGAAGCCAGAAAAUAAGGAGAGUUUAAGAAAUAUGACCAGUAAAGAUACUGUGGGUUGUAAUUGACACAUUAAAUCAGACCUGAAUCCAAUAGACCAGAAACUACCACGUAUUUGGGUAAAUGUUAUUGCCAAGCAAACCACAUAUCUGUUAUUGUUCAACCUAAUACAAUCCUCAGGCUUGUAAAACUGCACUAGUAGGAAGCAGUGUGAAAGGAGCUGGGCAUCCCUGAAGGAAGGCAUAAGGAAGGAAUGUUUUCAGACUCAGAUGAGGGCACGGAGAACAAGGGGCAAGGCAGAACCACUCCAAGGUAAAGCCACAGUCUUAGGUGACAGUAGACAAGGAACUUCCUCCCAGAACCCAGAACCAAAUACUAACCCCAAGAAAAGUACUCCACAUAUGGGGCAAGGCCCUUUGCAAUGACUGGUGGCAAAACUCCAUCACUAAUGACCAGCGGCUGAUGCGUAUUUUGUUUCUUCUGUUUUCUGAGAAGGAAUUUCUACUGUGUGUAUCCAGUCCCAUCCACCGAUGUUUAUUGAAGAUAUGGGUACAGGGACGAGUGGAGGCAGGGGAAGAAUCGGGGAGGGGAUGGGCUGGUGACUUGUUCACUGGGAGACACAUCCAGAUUUGGUGCAGGUGGCUGCAUAUUGCCCAGAUAUUUUGGACUUUAAGUUGGGUGCAAUAGCUGGAUAGGACCCUGGGCUAUCUUUUUUAGGGGAGAGGUUGAAUGUGUUCUGUGUGAGGGAUAGAAAGGGUAUGCACAGUACAGUUAUUUGAGUGAUCAGUGUGUGUUAGGAAAUUGCUUAUUCUCCAGCUUUCUUUCCUGCUGGAUGUGGACUUAUGACAAAUUUUGGCAAAUAAGAAGUGAGCCAGGCCAGGCUCAGUGGCUGAGGCCCGUAAUCCCUGUGCUUUGGGAGGCUGAGGUGGGUGGAUUGCUUGAGCUCAGGAGUUCGAUACCAGCCUGGGCAACAUGAAGAAACCCUGUCUCUACAAAAAAUAAAAAAGAUUAGCUGGGUGUGGUGGCACAUGCCUGUAAUCCCAGCUACUUGAGAAGCUGAGGUGGGAGGAUUGCUUGAACCCAGGGGGUGGAGGUUGCAGUGAGCCAAGAUUGUGCCACUGCUCUCCAGCCGGGCAACAGAGUAAGACUCUGUCUCAAAAAAGAAAAAGAAAAGAGCCAAACUGAUAUGUAUACUAUGUAUACCACUGAGGUACUUCCUAAUUAAAAGACAAAUAUCUGUCCCUGGAUUUUGGCUGUAAUAUGGAUGUCAUGACAAUUUAGCUGUAACAACGUAGGUGAGGACAACAUCCUUGGGGACGGUGAAGCAAUGAGAAAGAAGCUAUGUCCCUGACCUGUGUAAGUUCCUCCAGCUCAUACUGGCCAUAUUAUUCUGUAAGCCAGAACUUUCUAUCUUAUUUAAGUCACUGUAUUUUGGGGACUCUUUGUUACAGCAGCUUGAUCUUUCUCCCAGUUCAAGAUACCUCUUACUGGCUUCCUGUAUAAAUGUUACAUUGACUGAACACAUGAAAACUGUUCUGGAUUGCACAAGGCUAGUUUUUUUACUGUGCUAAAGAGUUAGAUGUCUCAGUUGAUUAAGACAUGGACAAUUUUCUUGUAAUGUUACCUGAGUGACAACUGCCACAGUUAUAGAAAAUUGGUGAUCAUUCUUGGACAUGACUUUGGGAGUGUUGGGGUAAAAGAGAGUGUUGAAGUGGUAAAGCCCCUGUAAUCACCCUUGCCAUGAUUCUCAUGUCUGGGCCCUAUCUUAAAAUAAUAAUAAUAAUAGUAAUAAUACAUCACUUAAAUCCUGCAUAUGCUGGCUCUCUCUUUGGUUAAAGUCCUCUCACAAAUGUCUAUACUGUCCUUAUUUGCAAGGAGAUGUCCCAGUAAGGAAAUCAUAGGGAAGUAAGUGGGAUCUAUGAAAACACUUCCUGUUAGAGGUGGAACAGAUCCUGCGGGUAUCCCUGUGGGUCUGAAGCAAUUUCAGUCCUUGCCUCCUCAGAAGAAAGAACUCGACUGAGGGGCAUAAGGCAGAAAAAGAGACUGAGGCAAGUUUCAGAGCAGGAGUGGAGGUUUAUUUAAAAAGGCUUUAGAACAGGAAAGAAAGGAAAAUUCACUUGGAAGAGACCCAAGCCAGUGCGUGAAGGUCCGAGAGAGAGGAGAAGAGAUUAAAAAAGAGGCCUUUAACCUUGAUCCUAGGGCUUCACAAGCUGGCUUCUUUCCCUUGGUUCUUCUCCUAGGGUGGGCUUCCCGCAUGCGCAGGCGUUCCUUACAUUUUUGGUAAGGAAACUGAGCAUGUGCAGUGUGCUUAGGCAGUUACACACAUGCCCAUCUGAGACUUUUUUCCUUUUUCCGGUGGUGGGUGCCCCAGAACAUCAUACUUCACCAUUUUGUCUCUUAACAUGAAUGCCCAAGAAACUGCUUCUCCCUGGGGCCUGCAUUCAAUUCACACGUUUAAUGUUAACGGGUGUGGAUGAUCAGGAGAUUGCCUCUCCCUUGCUGCUGAAUUACCGUUUUUAGAGAGGCACUGCGAUCAUUGCAAACCAUCCCCCUACAUUCCUAGUGGAUUGGGGGAGAGCCCUCGCCUGACCCACUCAUGCCUGUCUAUCUAUCUAUAAUAUUCCCAGUUUCACUUCUCCUCUUCCUCUGAGUGCCUCUAGCACCUUAUUCUUACUUUUGUUCUUAAGUAUGAGAAUAUGACAAUAGUGAAACUUCCUUUGCAAAAAUUGUAACAAUGAGAAUAUUAUGAUAGUGAAAGAGAUCUAAUCUAACAAACCCCCAUCUUGCCUUUAACCUCCAAACUGCGUUUAAUUAUUCCUGGGCUUGGGCCACGCUAACUUUGGGAGACAUUUAUAGUUUAAAUGAUAAUAGCACUUCCCCCAAAUUAAACUGCCUUCGUAAGGCUAAUAAAAGACUACCAGCCAGGUUGGGAGCAGGAGUGGAGCUUGAAUCCUGCUAAGGCGUCAAUGUCAUAAGAUUUGCAACUUUCCCAAUUACUCCUGCAGAUAACAUCACUAUUGUAGAACCUAAGAUUGGCCUUUUGAGAUGUCUUUUUGGGUUUUUGCAUUUCUGAUGACCAAUGGCUCCACCCAGACCUGCCAACUGGUCCUGUGUCCCCACCCAGCAGAGGACUCACAUCCCUGUGAUUGCAUCCCCAACCAACCAGCAGCACCCAUUCCGUGGCUGGCCAAAAUGUCCUUGAAAAUCCUAGGCCAGGCUUGGUGGCUCACACCUGUAAUCCUAGCAAGGCUGAAGUGGGUGGGUCACUGGAGCCCAGGAGUUUGAGAUCAGCCUGGGCAACAUGGUGAUACCCCAUCUCUACAAAAAUACUAAAAAUUAGCUGGGUGUGGUGGCUGUAGUCCCAGCCACUUGGGAGGCUGAAGUGGGAGGGUCACCUGAGCCCAGGGAAGUUGAGGCUGCAGUGAGCCAUGAUCAUGCCACUAUACUUCAGCCAGGGUGCUCUCACUCCAGAGUGAGACCUCGUCUCAAAAAACAAACAAACAAACAACAAAAACAAAACAAAAAUAAGAAGAAGAAGCAAAAAAAGAAAAACCCUAGCCUCUGAAUUUUCAAGGGAGGCUUAUUUGAGUAAUGGUAAAACUCCAGUCUCCCAUUCAGCCAGCUCUGCAUGAAUUAAACUCUUUCUCUAUUGCAAUUCCUCUGUCUUAAUAAAUUGGCCCAGAUAGGGCCAGUGAACCCACUGGGUGGUUACAUUAGUUUUUCUCCAUUUGCCAGAUCUCCUUGAGUGUGUGAUGACAGUGACCGGGAAUGAAUUCUAGACUCACCUCAUACCACCUUUUUUUAGCUCCAUGGGUGCUAUUGACCCCGAAGACCUUCCAAUGGGACAAAAUGUGGAGGUGGAAGACAGUGAUAUUGAUGAUUCUGACCCUACAUAGGUCUU
rnacentral:lncRNA from 1 species